rnacentral:rRNA from 1 species
AUUGAACGCUGGCGGCAUGCCUUACACAUGCAAGUCGAACGGCAGCACGGGUGCUUGCACCUGGUGGCGAGUGGCGAACGGGUGAGUAAUACAUCGGUACCUGUCCUGUAGCGGGGGAUAGCCCGGCGAAAGCCGGAUUAAUACCCCAUACGAUCUACGGACGAAAGCGGGGGACCUUCGGGCCUCGCGCUAUAGGGUUGGCCGAUGGCGGAUUAGCUAGUUGGUGGGGUAAAGGCCUACCAAGGCGACGAUCAGUAGCUGGUCUGUGAGGACGACCAGCCACACUGGGACUGAGACGCGGCCCAGACUCCUACGAGAGGCAGCAGUGGGGAAUGGGGGACAGUGGGCGAAAGCCUGAUCCAGCAAUGCCGCGUGUGUGAAGAAGGCCUUCGGGUUGUAAAGCACUUUUGUCCGGAAAGAAAUCCUUGGCCCUAAUACGGUCGGGGGAUGACGGUACCGGAAGAAUAAGCACCGGCUAACUACGUG